UGGCGAACGGGUGAGUAACACGUGAGUAACCUGCCCUCCUCUUCGGGAUAACCGCCGGAAACGGCGGCUAAUACCGGAUAUGAAUGUCUGCCGCAUGGUGGGUGUUGGAAAGAUUUAUCGGUGGGGGAUGGACUCGCGGCCUAUCAGUUUGUUGGUGAGGUAAUGGCUCACCAAGGCGAUGACGGGUAGCCGGCCUGAGAGGGCGACCGGCCACACUGGGACUGAGACACGGCCCAGACUCCUACGGGAGGCAGCAGUGGGGAAUAUUGCACAAUGGGCGAAAGCCUGAUGCAGCGACGCCGCGUGGGGGAUGACGGCCUUCGGGUUGUAAACCUCUUUCAGCAGGGAAGAAGCGAGAGUGACGGUACCUGCAGAAGAAGCGCCGGCUAACUACGUGCCAGCAGCCGCGGUAAUACGUAGGGCGCAAGCGUUGUCCGGAAUUAUUGGGCGUAAA
rnacentral:rRNA from 1 species